rnacentral:rRNA from 1 species
UGGGGAAUUUUGGGACAAUGGGGGAAACCCUGAUCCAGCCAUCCCGCGUGUGCGAUGAAGGCCUUCGGGUUGUAAAGCACUUUUGGCAGGAAAGAAACGUCGCGGGUUAAUACCCCGCGAAACUGACGGUACCUGCAGAAUAAGCACCGGCUAACUACGUGCCAGCAGCCGCGGUAAUACGUAGGGUGCAAGCGUUAAUCGGAAUUACUGGGCGUAAAGCGUGCGCAGGCGGUUCGGAAAGAAAGAUGUGAAAUCCCAGAGCUUAACUUUGGAACUGCAUUUUUGAACUACCGGGCUAGAGUGUGUCAGAGGGAGGUGGAAUUCCGCGUGUAGCAGUGAAAUGCGUAGAUAUGCGGAGGAACACCGAUGGCGAAGGCAGCCUCCUGGGAUAACACUGACACUCAUGCACGAAAGCGUGGGGAGCAAAACAGGAUUAGAUACCCUGGUAGUCCACGCCCUAAACGAUGUCAACUAGCUGUUGGGGCCUUUCGGGCCUUGGUAGGCGCAGCUAACGCGUGAAGUUGGACCGCCUGGGGAGUACGGUCGCAAGAUU